ACCCUCCUGGCUCAGUUGAUAGAGCACGAGACUCUUAACCUCAGGGUUGUGAGUUCGAGCCCCACAUCGGGUG
rnacentral:tRNA from 1 species